GUCGAACGGUGUCUUCGGACAUAGUGGCGCACGGGUGCGUAACACGUAUGCAACCUACCUUACAUUGGGGGAUAGCCUUUCGAAAGGGAGAUUAAUACCGCAUAAGACAGUAGCUGGGCAUCCAGCAGCUGUUAAAGAUUUAUCGAUGUAAGAUGGGCAUGCGUCCAAUUAGUUAGUUGGCGAGGUAACGGCUCACCAAGACUUUGAUUGGUAGGGGAACUGAGAGGUCAAUCCCCCACACUGGCACUGAGAUACGGGCCAGACUCCUACGGGAGGCAGCAGUAGGGAAUAUUGGGCAAUGGACGCAAGUCUGACCCAGCCAUGCCGCGUGCAGGAUGAAGGCGUUAUGCGUUGUAAACUGCUUUUAUACAGGAAGAAACGACUCUUGCGAGAGGCAUUGACGGUACUGUAUGAAUAAGCACCGGCUAACUCUGUGCCAGCAGCCGCGGUAAUACGGAGGGUGCAAGCGUUGUCCGGAUUUAUUGGGUUUAAAGGGUGCGCAGGUGGUUUAUUAAGUCAGUGGUGAAAGACGGUCGCUCAACGAUUGCAGUGCCAUUGAAACUGGUAGACUUGAGUAAAGUAGAGGUGGGCGGAAUUGAUAGUGUAGCGGUGAAAUGCAUAGAUAUUAUCAAGAACUCCAAUUGCGUAGGCAGCUCACUUGGCUUUUACUGACACUCAUGCACGAAAGUGUGGGUAUCAAACAGGAUUAGAUACCCUGGUAGUCCACACUGUAAACGAUGAUAACUAGGU
rnacentral:rRNA from 1 species